AACCAAGCUCAUGCGCCGUAGCUCUUCAGCUCGGGAAGGCUAUAUUUAGCAGGUUUCCGGAAGUUGCAGGACUGGCUGUGAGGCGGUCCUGCCUCGCUGCCUUCAGUCCCUAGUGUCUGGGUCCCCGCCCUCCAGCCGCCUUUGAGUCGUGCCUGGGUCCUCGCCCUUGCCUCAGAACCGCGAAGAAAGGAAGCUCGCGUGUUUGCUAGGAAACCUAGUUGGGAGUGCGAGGCAGAGAACGUUCAGCACCUUUGUUCCUCCCGAACCCUCGGGACAGAGGCAGGGUUCUGAGGGCAGGGAUUCCCCCUCGUCUUGGCCCCACCGCCCGGGCUGGGCACUAAACUCGGGCCGCGGCGGGGCGAGCGAGGCGGGCUCCGGAGGGAGCUGACGCCUGAUGAUGGCGCAGUCCAACAUGUUCACCGUGGCUGAUGUGUUGAGUCAAGAUGAACUGCGCAAAAAGCUAUACCAGACGUUUAAGGAUCGGGGUAUACUGGAUACACUCAAGACACAACUUCGAAACCAGCUAAUUCAUGAGUUGAUGCACCCUGUAUUGAGUGGAGAACUGCAGCCUCGGUCCAUUUCAGUAGAAGGGAGCUCCCUCUUAAUAGGCGCCUCUAACUCUUUAGUGGCAGAUCACUUACAAAGAUGUGGCUAUGAAUAUUCACUUUCUGUUUUCUUUCCAGAAAGUGGUUUGGCAAAAGAAAAGGUAUUUACUAUGCAGGAUCUAUUACAACUCAUUAAAAUCAACCCUACUUCCAGUCUCUACAAAUCACUGGUUUCAGGAUCUGAUAAAGAAAAUCAAAAAGGUUUUCUUAUGCAUUUUUUAAAAGAAUUGGCAGAAUAUCAUCAAGCUAAAGAGAGUUGUAAUAUGGAAACUCAGACAAGUUCGACAUUUAACAGAGAUUCUCUGGCUGAGAAGCUUCAGCUUAUUGAUGAUCAGUUUGCAGAUGCUUACCCUCAGCGUAUCAAGUUCGAAUCUUUAGAAAUAAAGCUAAAUGAGUAUAAGAGAGAAAUAGAAGAGCAACUUCGGGCAGAAAUGUGUCAAAAGUUGAAGUUUUUUAAAGAUACCGAGAUAGCAAAAAUUAAAAUGGAAGCAAAAAAAAAGUAUGAAAAGGAGUUAACCAUGUUCCAGAAUGAUUUUGAAAAAGCUUGUCAAGCAAAAUCUGAAGCUCUCGUUCUUCGGGAAAAGAGUACCCUUGAAAGAAUUCACAAGCACCAAGAGAUUGAAACAAAAGAAAUUUAUGCUCAAAGGCAACUUUUACUAAAAGAUAUGGAUUUGCUAAGAAGAAGAGAAGCAGAGCUGAAGCAAAGAGUUGAAGCUUUUGAAUUGAACCAGAAGCUCCAGGAAGAAAAACAUAAAAGCAUAACUGAGGCACUUAGGAGACAGGAGCAGAAUAUAAAGAGUUUUGAGGAGACCUAUGACCGAAAGCUCAAGAAUGAACUUCUAAAGUAUCAACUUGAACUGAAGGAUGACUACAUCAUUAGAACUAAUCGACUGAUUGAAGAUGAAAGGAAGAAUAAAGAAAAAGCUGUUCAUUUGCAAGAGGAGCUCAUAGCUAUUAAUUCAAAAAAGGAGGAACUCAAUCAAUCUGUAAAUCGUGUGAAAGAACUUGAGCUUGAAUUAGAGUCUGUCAAAGCCCAGUCUUUGGCAAUAACAAAACAAAACCAUAUGCUGAAUGAAAAGGUUAAAGAGAUGAGUGAUUAUUCACUACUAAAAGAAGAGAAACUGGAGCUUCUGGCACAAAAUAAAUUACUUAAACAACAACUGGAAGAGAGUAGAAAUGAAAACUUGCGUCUCCUAAACCGCCUAGCUCAGCCGGCUCCUGAACUUGCAGUCUUUCAGAAAGAACUACGGAAAGCCGAAAAGGCUAUAGUGGUUGAGCAUGAGGAGUUCGAAAGCCGCAGGCAAGCUCUGCACAAACAACUGCAAGACGAAAUUGAGCAUUCUGCACAGCUGAAGGCCCAGAUUCUAGGUUACAAAGCUUCUGUAAAGAGUUUAACUACUCAGGUUGCCGAUUUAAAAUUGCAACUGAAGCAAACUCAGACAGCCCUAGAGAAUGAAGUGUACUGCAAUCCAAAGCAGUCUGUGAUCGAUCGUUCUGUCAAUGGAUUAAUAAAUGGCAAUGUGGUGCCUUGCAAUGGUGAGAUAAGCGGGGAUUUCUUGAACAAUCCUUUUAAACAGGAAAAUGUUCUAGCACGUAUGGUUGCAUCAAGGAUCACAAAUUAUCCAACUGCAUGGGUGGAGGGUAGUUCCCCUGAUUCUGAGCUUGAGUUUGUAGCCAAUACUAAGGCAAGGGUCAAAGAGCUUCAGCAAGAGGCCGAACGCUUGGAAAAGGCUUUCAGAAGUUACCAUCGGAGAGUCAUUAAAAACUCUGCCAAAAGCCCACUAGCAGCAAAGAGCCCACCAUCUCUGCACUUGCUGGAAGCCUUCAAAAACAUUACUUCCAGUUCCCCGGAAAGACAUAUUUUUGGAGAGGACAGAGUUGUCUCUGAGCAGCCUCAAGUGGGCACACUUGAAGAAAGGAAUGACGUCGUGGAAGCACUGACAGGCAGUGCAGCCUCGAGGCUCCGCGGGGGCACUUCCUCCAGACGCCUCUCCUCCACACCCCUUCCAAAAGCAAAAAGAAGCCUCGAAAGUGAAAUGUAUCUGGGAGGUCUGGGCAGAUCACACAUUGCUUCCCCCAGUCCUUGUCCUGACAGAAUGCCCCUACCAUCACCCACUGAGUCUAGGCACAGCCUCUCCAUCCCUCCUGUCUCCAGCCCUCCGGAGCAGAAAGUGGGUCUUUAUCGAAGACAAACUGAACUUCAAGACAAAAGUGAAUUUUCAGAUGUGGACAAGCUAGCUUUUAAGGAUAAUGAGGAGUUUGAAUCAUCUUUUGAAUCUGCAGGGAACGUGCCAAGGCAGUUGGAAAUGGGCGGGCUUUCUCCUGCCGGGGAUAUGUCUCAUGUGGACGCUGCUGCAGCUGCUGUGCCCCUCUCAUAUCAGCACCCAAGUGUAGAUCAGAAACAAAUUGAAGAACAAAAGGAAGAAGAAAAAAUACGGGAACAGCAAGUGAAAGAACGAAGGCAGAGAGAAGAAAGAAGGCAGAGUAACCUACAAGAAGUUUUAGAAAGGGAACGAAGAGAACUGGAAAAACUGUAUCAGGAAAGGAAGAUGAUUGAAGAAUCACUGAAGAUUAAAAUAAAAAAGGAAUUAGAAAUGGAAAAUGAAUUAGAAAUGAGUAAUCAAGAAAUAAAAGACAAAUCUGCUCACAGUGAAAAUCCUUUAGAGAAAUACAUGAAAAUCAUCCAGCAGGAGCAAGACCAGGAGUCGGCAGAUAAGAGCUCAAAAAAGAUGGUCCAAGAAGGCUCCCUAGUGGACAUGCUGCAAUCUAGUGACAAAGUCGAAAGGUGACUAAGAGUGGGAUUAGUGACCUUAUAAAAGGGCUCAAUGGAACUAGCUAGGCCCUUUUGCCCUUCCACCAUUUGAAGACACUGCAUUGAUCCCCGCUGGAGAACACAGCAACAAGGCACCAUCUUGGAAGCAGAGACCGGGCCUUCACCAGACAUCGAACCUGCCAGUGCCUUCCUUGAUCUUCGACUUCCCAGCCUCUAAAACUAGAACUGGGUGACCUUUUUCUUCAAAUUUUCAUCUGGCUUAUUUGAGGGUCAUUUGGUAGUGAAGCAUGUGAUCAUAAAAAAAUUGUUUUAAAUUUAGAACAUAUUUGCAAAGUAUUUUCCAGAAGGUGUGACAAAACAAAAUCCAGAUUAAAACGGUUCUCUUCCAUUUCAUCUUCA